rnacentral:rRNA from 1 species
AACGAACGCUGGCGGCAGGCUUAACACAUGCAAGUCGAGCGCCCCGCAAGGGGAGCGGCAGACGGGUGAGUAACACGUGGGAAUCUACCCAUCCCUACGGAACAACUCCGGGAAACUGGAGCUAAUACCGUAUACGCCCUUUGGUGGAAAGAUCUAUCGGGGAUGGAUGAGCCCGCGUUGGAUUAGCUAGUUGGUGGGGUAAAGGCCUACCAAGGCGACGAUCCAUAGCUGGUCUGAGAGGAUGAUCAGCCACAUUGGGACUGAGACACGGCCCAAACUCCUACGGGAGGCAGCAGUGGGGAAUAUUGGACAAUGGGCGCAAGCCUGAUCCAGCCAUGCCGCGUGAAUGAUGAAGGCCUUAGGGUUGUAAAGUUCUUUCACCGAUGAAGAUAAUGACGGUAGUCGGAGAAGAAGCCCCGGCUAACUUCGUGCCAGCAGCCGCCGUAA